AGUGAACGCUGGCGGUAGGCCUAACACAUGCAAGUCGAACGGCAGCACAGUAAGAGCUUGCUCUUACGGGUUGCGAGUGGCGGACGGGUGAGGAAUACAUCGGAAUCUACUUUUUCGUGGGGGAUAACGUAGGGAAACUUACGCUAAUACCGCAUACGACCUACGGGUGAAAGCAGGGGAUCUUCGGACCUUGCGCGAUUGAAUGAGCCGAUGUCGGAUUAGCUAGUUGGCGGGGUAAAGGCCCACCAAGGCGACGAUCCGUAGCUGGUCUGAGAGGAUGAUCAGCCACACUGGAACUGAGACACGGUCCAGACUCCUUCGGGAGGAAGCAGUGGGGAAUAUUGGACAAUGGGCGCAAGCCUGAUCCAGCCAUACCGCGUGGGUGAAGAAGGCCUUCGGGUUGUAAAGCCCUUUUGUUGGGAAAGAAAAGCAGCAGGUUAAUACCCCGCUGUUCUGACGGUACCCAAAGAAUAAGCACCGGCUAACUUCGUG
rnacentral:rRNA from 1 species